rnacentral:rRNA from 1 species
UACAGAGGUCUCAAGCGUUGUUCGGAUUCAUUGGGCGUAAAGGGUGCGUAGGCGGCGCGGUAAGUCGGGUGUGAAAUCUCGGGGCUUAACUCCGAAACUGCAUUCGAUACUGCCGUGCUUGAGGACUGGAGAGGAGACUGGAAUUUACGGUGUAGCGGUGAAAUGCGUAGAUAUCGGGAGGAAUACCAGCGGCGAAGGCGGCCUUCUGGACGGUGACUGACGCUGAGACGCGAAAGCGUGGGGAGCAACAGG